AGGACGAACGCUGGCGGCGUGCUUAACACAUGCAAGUCGAACGGAAAGGCCCGCUUGCGGGUACUCGAGUGGCGAACGGGUGAGUAACACGUGGGCAACCUGCCCUCAGCUUCGGGAUAACACUUGGAAACAGGUGCUAAUACCGGAUAAUAACUUUUCAUCGCAUGGUGGAUGGUUCAAAGUUUUUCGGCUGAGGAUGGGCCCGCGGCCUAUCAGCUAGUUGGCGGGGUAAUGGCCCACCAAGGCUUCGACGGGUAGC
rnacentral:rRNA from 1 species